rnacentral:rRNA from 1 species
GUCCAGACUCCUACGGGAGGCAGCAGUGGGGGAUAUUGCACAAUGGGGGAAACCCUGAUGCAGCGACGCCGCGUGAGUGAAGAAGUAUUUCGGUAUGUAAAGCUCUAUCAGCAGGGAAGAAAAAAGACGGUACCUGACUAAGAAGCCCCGGCUAACUACGUGCCAGCAGCCGCGGUAAUACGUAGGGGGCGAGCGUUAUCCGGAUUCACUGGGUGUAAAGGGAGCGUAGACGGCCAUGCAAGCCAGGGGUGAAAGCCCGGGGCCCAACCCCGGGACUGCCCUUGGAACUGCAUGGCUGGAGUGCGGGAGGGGCAGGCGGAAUUCCUGGUGUAGCGGUGAAAUGCGUAGAUAUUAGGAGGAACACCAGUGGCGAAGGCGGCCUACUGGACGGUGACUGACGCUGAGGCUCGAAAGCGUGGGGAGCAAACAGGAUUAGAUACCCUAGUA